GCAAGACUGACCUAAGCGAAAGCAUUUGCCAAGGAUGCUUCCAUUAAUCAAGAACGAAAGUUAGAGGUUCGAAGGCGAUCAGAUACCGCCCUAGUUCUAACCGUAAACGAUGCCAGCCAGCGAUCCGUCGAAGUUCCUCCGAUGACUCGACGGGCAGCUUCCGGGAAACCAAAGCUUUUAGGUUCCGGGGGAAGUAUGGUUGCAAAGCUGAAACUUAAAGGAAUUGACGGAAGGGCACCACCAGGAGUGGAGCUUGCGGCUUAAUUUGACUCAACACGGGAAACCUCACCAGGCCCGGACACUGGAAGGAUUGACAGAUUGAGAGCUCUUUCUUGAUUCAGUGGGUGGUGGUGCAUGGCCGUUCUUAGUUGGUGGAGCGAUUUGUCUGGUUAAUUCCGAUAACGAACGAAGACUC
rnacentral:rRNA from 1 species